UGUCUGACUGUUCCGGCGAAUUCCAGCGAUUUCCGGCCACCUUCUGGGCCGCAUUCGCUACGGCUCCGUCGCGGUUCCUCGACGCUGGCAGCUUUCCGAGCUCUUUCCGGCUUCGUUCUGGCUUGGUUACAUCUAUAGGAGGAGGCUGACCACAAUUGGAGUAGGAAGCUUCAAAGAUUACUGGGUUUUGGACUUUGAGGCCUGUGUACCAGUUCAUCUUCGGUAGUGGAGCUAGGAAACUGGGUUGGAUCAUCAAGCUUGUUCUGGGAACUGAGUUUGGGUUGAUCAAAGUCGAUUUCUAAAUUUGAAGGUAUAAUCUCGAACUUGAGUCCUACUUUGUUCUCGUGUUAGUGAUCGGAAUCUGUGGAAUUGAGUUCGGUCGGUAUGUUUGUUGAAAUGGAUGACUGGGGAUGUUUGGGUUAA
rnacentral:lncRNA from 1 species